CCCACCGACGACCAAUCGCAGAUGUUUAAGACGGAGCCUCCACCGUGUUAAGGUGACCUGCAGUGAGACUGUCCUGUUGCCAUUUGUGAGCGAAGCGGAGUUACUGCAAACAUGUCUCUGUCCAACAAGCUGAACCUGGAUAAGGUGGACGUGAAGGGGAAGAGGGUGGUGAUGAGGGUUGACUUUAAUGUGCCUAUGAAAAAUAACCAGAUCACAAACAACCAGAGG